AUAUUAUAUGACAGGCAAGAAGAUUAGCACUUUCCUUAACUAGGACUUAAGAGAAUCUAUGACCUAUGAAACAAACAUAUGGUUAAGAAAUUGCCUUCUACUUCAAGCCAUCUAUCCAAAAUUUUUG
rnacentral:ncRNA from 1 species